CCUACGGGAGGCUGCAGUGGGGAAUAUUGGACAAUGGGGGAACCCUGAUCCAGCCAUGCCGCGUGUGUGAAGAAGGCCCUCGGGUUGUAAAGCACUUUCAGUGAGGAAGAACGCCUGGUGGUUAAUACCCAUCAGGAAAGACAUCACUCACAGAAGAAGCACCGGCUAACUCCGUGCCAGCAGCCGCGGUAAUACGGAGGGUGCGAGCGUUAAUCGGAAUUACUGGGCGUAAAGCGCGCGUAGGUGGCUUGAUAAGCCGGUUGUGAAAGCCCCGGGCUCAACCUGGGAACGGCAUCCGGAACUGUCAAGCUAGAGUGCAGGAGAGGAAGGUAGAAUUCCCGGUGUAGCGGUGAAAUGCGUAGAGAUCGGGAGGAAUACCAGUGGCGAAGGCGGCCUUCUGGACUGACACUGACACUGAGGUGCGAAAGCGUGGGUAGCAAACAGGAUUAGAUACCCGGGUAGUC
rnacentral:rRNA from 1 species